rnacentral:tRNA from 1 species
GCUGGCUUGGCAGAAAAGUGCUUUAAAUUUAGAAUUUAAAAAUGUAAACAAAUAUACAGUUAGUA